rnacentral:tRNA from 1 species
AGGGUUGUGGCUCAGUGGUAGAGCACUUGUCUAACAUGCAUGAGGCACUGGGUUCAAUCUCCAGUAUCACAU